rnacentral:ncRNA from 2 species
CCUUCCCUGUCAGGAGAGCGCUUCCCCCGAGGAGGCCGCCGAAGGCGCAGGAGGCUGGUCAAACAGCCCUGAACGCUCAGGCAAAAGGACUGGCAAACGCUG